GUGACCUGCAGGGAGGCAGAGAGGAGGCGGGGCAUGGCAGCAGUGUUCAGCAGUGGAGCAUGAAGAGCCUCUGAAGAUGCCCUGGAGGAGUCAUGGAGUGUGCAGGCAGGAAAAGGUGGCAACAAUAGCUGAUGCAGUAGGGGUGACUGGCAGGUCAAUGGCAGCAGGCAGCAUGUGUCCCUAGGAGCUGCAACUGGCAGUGCCUUAUGUAGGGCAUGUGGAACCCCUGGCUGGCAAUAUAUCGCAACACUGUGGUGGAGGAUACUGAAACCGACUUUGACGACCGACUAUCUAGGCCGAGGAGGACAAAGGGAUCAGCAAGAAUGCUGGAGUUCUGUGGAAGACUAGUCAUGGUUGGGAGAAGUCAUCAUGAUGGUCUUGGUCGGAUAGAGAAGAAAAGGAAAAGUGAACUCCUCCGAUCAUAGAAGACUCCCCCCCUGUGAUUGACUCAGAGAAGACGCCACCUGUUAUUGACUCAGAGAAGAUGCCCCCUUUGAUUGACUCAGAGUAGACGCAUCCUGUGAGUCUAUAAUAUCAUGCUGUAUUCUGCCUAAUUGUGACCCAUCAGUGCUAAAGUCACUUGAAUGUUCUGCAGUUAUGUUUAGUGAAACAACAAAUCCCAGAAUUCUCUUAUCACUGCCUAUAUCAUAAUGGCCAUUGUAGUUUCACAUAAUUAAAAGCUCCUUAUUGCUUUUCCUUUACUUGUCAAUU